AGAGUUUGAUCAUGGCUCAGGAUGAACGCUGGCGGCGUGCUUAACACAUGCAAGUCGAACGAGGUCCAUGGAGCUUGCUCCGGAAGACCUAGUGGCGAACGGGUGCGUAACACGUGAGAAACCUGCCCCGAUCUCUGGGAUAACAGUUGGAAACGACUGCUAAUACCGGAUGCCGUCACACCGCUUCAUGGCGGAGUGCCGAAAGAUUUAUCGGAUCGGGAGGGUCUCGCGGCCUAUCAGCUAGUUGGAGAGGUAACGGCUCACCAAGGCAUCGACGGGUAGCUGGUCUGAGAGGAUGAUCAGCCACACUGGGACUGAGACACGGCCCAGACUCCUACGGGAGGCAGCAGUGGGGAAUCUUGCACAAUGGGCGAAACCCUGAUGCAGCAACGCCGCGUGAGCGACGAAGGCCUUCGGGUCGUAAAGCUCUGUCUUAGCUGACGAUAAUGACGGUAAGCUAGGAGGAAGCCACGGCUAACUACGCGCCAGCAGCCGCGGUAAUACGUAGGUGGCGAGCGUUGUCCGGAUUUACUGGGCGUAAAGGGAGCGUAGGCGGUUUUUUAAGUGGGGUGUGAAAUCCCUGGGCUUAACCCAGGAAUUGCAUUCCAUACUGGAAGACUAGAGUGCAGGAGAGGAAAGUGGAAUUCCAAGUGUAGCGGUGAAAUGCGUAGAGAUUUGGAGGAACACCAGUGGCGAAGGC
rnacentral:rRNA from 1 species